rnacentral:rRNA from 1 species
UACGGGGGGGGCAAGCGUUGUUCGGAAUUACUGGGCGUAAAGGGCUCGUAGGCGGCCAACUAAGUCAGACGUGAAAUCCCUAGGCUUAACCGGGGAACUGCGUCUGAUACUGGAUGGCUUGAGUUUGGGAGAGGGAUGCGGAAUUCCAGGUGUAGCGGUGAAAUGCGUAGAUAUCUGGAGGAACACCGGUGGCGAAGGCGGCAUCCUGGACCAACACUGACGCUGAGUGAGCGAAAGCCAGGGGGAGCAAACGGGG